rnacentral:rRNA from 1 species
CCUACGGGAGGCAGCAGUGGGGAAUAUUGGACAAUGGGCGAAAGCCUGAUCCAGCCAUGCCGCGUGUGUGAAGAAGGCCUUCGGGUUGUAAAGCACUUUCAGUGGGGAAGAAAGCCUUGGGGCUAAUACCCUCGAGGAAGGACAUCACCCACAGAAGAAGCACCGGCUAACUCCGUGCCAGCAGCCGCGGUAAUACGGAGGGUGCGAGCGUUAAUCGGAAAUACUGGGCGUAAAGCGCGCGUAGGCGGUCUGAUAAGCCGGUUGUGAAAGCCCCGGGCUCAACCUGGGAACGGCAUCCGGAACUGUCAGGCUAGAGUGCAGGAGAGGAAGGUAGAAUUCCCGGUGUAGCGGUGAAAUGCGUAGAGAUCGGGAGGAAUACCAGUGGCGAAGGCGGCCUUCUGGACUGACACUGACGCUGAGGUGCGAAAGCGUGGGUAGCAAACAGGAUUAGAUACCCGGGUAGUC